rnacentral:rRNA from 1 species
UUGCAGUUAAAAAGCUCGUAGUCGGAUUUCAGUAUUAGGCCCUUCUUCCAAUACGGUUGCUAGUGGUCUUUACUUCCUUAACAGAAUCUUUCAUCUCAUUAAUUUGGGGUGUUUGGGGCCUGUUUCUUUUACUUUGAGAAAAUUAGAGUGUUCAAAGCGGGUUUUCGCCUGGAUAUUACUCUUGGAAUAAUAAUAUAGGACUUUGGUUCUUUUUUGUUGGUGACUUAGAACCGAAGUAAUGAUUGAUAGGGACAGUUGGGGUCAUUCGUACUAUGAAGCGAGAGGUGAAAUUCAUGGACCUUUGUAUGACGAACUACUGCGAAAGCAUUUGACUAGGAUGUUCCCGUUGAUCAAGAACGAAAGUUGGGGGAUCGAAGACGAUCAGAUACCGUCGUAGUCUCAACCAUAAACUAUGCCAGCUAGGGAUUGGAGGAAGAUCAUUUUACGUCUCCUUCAGCACCUUAUGAGAAAUCAAAGCAUUUGGGUUCCGGGGGGAGUAUGGUC